UUCCUAUCCCACCCCUCUAGGGGGACACAAAGCACUGAGCUGAGCUCCCUGUGCUAUGCAGCUGCUUCCCACUAGCUAGCUAUUUUACAUUUGGUAGUGUAUAUAUAAGACGGCUGAGUUUUUAGACACUGUCAGGAAGGCCUCCAUCUUGUCCAUUAUUUAUGAUCUAUGAGAGAGAAGGAAGGAAAGAGAGAGAGAGAGAAGGAUUGUUUCUCUUUACUGAGAGUUCACUCCAGUCACUCAAACGAAGCAGCAUUCUUCACAUACCAGGUCGAGGAAGGCAGCUAAGGUAUCCAUCCCCCCACCCCCACCCCCACCCCGCGGAAAAAUUGGAGACUAGGAUAUUUGGAGCCUUAGCGAGCUAGGAGGAGAGUCUUUCUCCAAAUCUCACAAAGGAUCAAGAACAGAGAAAUUAAUAGCAUAGAGUGAAUCUUUAGCCAACAGGGGAGCAGAGGACAAACUAAGAAAGAAGGUUCCUCGGGAACCUUGCCCCUGGCUGCCCACAAGCAAAACACUGUGUCUUUGAAGUGCUAAUGUUGCUUUUCGUGGGGAGGAAGAAAAGAGAGGGGACAGCAGGGUUAUAAACAUGCUAUUUGUUUGUCUUGAAGGUGCUAAACCAGUUUCCAGGUACAGGUGUUGUUUUGCUUUAGAAAGCUAGAGAUGCGUUCUUCAUAGGAAAGCUGACCAAAUCCUAGAGCUGAUUCUUCUUCCUCUUUUUUUUUUUUCCGCAUACUAAACUGGGUCAGGGAGAGAGUUUCAUAUUUUUGUUGUUGUUGUUACACUGCCAGCUCAGAAGCAAGAUGAUUGGCUGAGACUUCGAGCCUAACAAUUAAUGUUAAAUACAGGCAGCUGGCUGGGUUUUGAUUAAAUGCCACAAUCAAGAAAUCUGGCAAUCUGGAACUUCGUGAUAGCUGAAGCCUGUGUUUUUUUUUUUUUUUUUUUUUUCUGUUUUUGUUUUUAACCCCAUAUACACAAUUGCUAAUCUUUCGGGGUCUUUUCCUUUACUGUCACUACAGUUUUUCAUGUUUAAAAAAUUGGCAGAAAUCGUCUGAAGACAUGCAAGUUUCCUUGAUUCUGAAACAGCUGAGGGCUUCUGUGUUGCUGCCCAUGUGAUUUGGAGUUUCUGCUCUAUUUGAUGAAAACGAACACCGAAGACGGCAGCUGGGAAGAUUGUCCAUCCCUGUCUCCCUGAAGUUGGGCAUGACCAUGUGACUUGCAUUGACCAGUGAAAUAUGAGCAGAAGUGAUACUCCCAGUUUUCCCAUCAUUCUGCCUUCCUAAGUGGACUAACUAAGCAUUUCCAGACUCCACCACCGUGACAAGUGUCAGGGAGCCCUUUGCUCCCAGACUGCUGCACUGAUGUGCCAACUUUGGCAGGACCCCACGCGAGGACAGCUGGUAUCCGAGAAACUCAGGAAGGUCCCUGGCUCUUCAGUGAGUCCCAGGCUCCUCACAGCCUUCAUCUGCAGAGGGCAGGACUCUGGCACUUGCUCUUGGGUGUCAGCUGUCUCCAACAACUUCCCCAGGAGCUUUCAGAGUGUCGGUGA